rnacentral:rRNA from 1 species
UACGGGGGGAGCAAGCGUUGUUCGGAUUUACUGGGCGUAAAGGGCGCGUAGGCGGUCAGCACAAGUCAGUUGUGAAAUCUCCGGGCUUAACUCGGAACGGCCAAGUGAUACUGCAGUGCUAGAGUGCAGAAAGGGCAAUCGGAAUUCUUGGUGUAGCGGUGAAAUGCGUAGAUAUCAAGAGGAACACCUGAGGCGAAGGCGGGUUGCUAGGCUGACACUGACGCUGAUGUGCGAAAGCCAGGGGAGCGAACGGG